AGUAACACGUAAACAACCUGCCUUCAGGAUGGGGACAACAGACGGAAACGACUGCUAAUACCGAAUAAGUUCCAAGAGCCGCAUGGCCCAUGGAAGAAAAGGUGGCCUCUACUUGUAAGCUAUCGCCUGAAGAGGGGUUUGCGUCUGAUUAGCUGGUUGGAGGGGUAACGGCCCACCAAGACGACGAUCAGUAGCCGGUCUGAGAGGAUGAACGGCCACACUGGAACUGAGACACGGUCCAGACUCCUACGGGAGGCAGCAUG
rnacentral:rRNA from 1 species